GGCAGCUGCAGGGGAGCGGCAGCAAAGCCGCCGGGCCGGCGCACCGGCUAAUGAGCGAGGCAGGAGCCAAGCUAAAGUCUUAGCCCCCCUGCAAAGGGAGGGCAUCUGCCGGCUCGCUGAGCAGGGCCCACAGGGGCGGUAGCAGCCGCGGCGGCCAGCGCGAGGUUUUUGGGUGGAUAGUUUGUUUUUACAUGUAAGAAGCAAAUUAGGAGCUCUGGGUGUAACUUAAAUAUGAUCCGUCCCUAAGGCGAUUGAGAGUGCAACACCUAUUGCAAUUUUAAUUUUCAAGUGUUCUGAAAGGUUGAAGUGCAGCCUUGCCUAUGGGGAGGAGAAUGCCGGGGAAAGAGGUGUGCUCGUGUCACGCAGCAUUUAGCCUAACGAUACAGGUUGUGUUAUUCCUCAGCUGCUCAGGAGCUGCAUUCAUACUGAACAAUCAACAAACCCUAAUUGAAAUAAAGCUGCAAAGUGCAGUGAGUGGAAGGAGUGGCAAGAGGUUUUUAAGUCUUGCUUUUCUUCUGAAUUUUGCUGCUGAGGGCAAACAUCUUUUCCUGCUAGCAUCAGAAAUAAAAACAAGUUCCCUUUGCUGUGAGAAAGAAAGCAAUCCAGCUGACCUCACAAAUCCUUCUUGUCCUGCACUGAGAUUAAAAAAAAUAAUCUCCAUGCUAGAGAAAAGAUUCCAGAUGACAUUACAGAAGUCUGAGUGUCCAAGCCAUCUUGCUUACUCUGAAUUUCACAUAAUAACUUUGAGACUGUGUUAGAGGUCAGUUCACAGUGCACCCAAAGUUUCAUUAUGGUUUGUACUGCUGGAGAAAUAAUAGAAAUCAAGGAUCUAGAAUUCUGUGAAGAGAGC